AAAGGAGAUUGCACGGGSGCCCGCACAAGCGAGCGGAGCAUAUGGUUUAAUUUAGAUGCAACGCGAAGAACCUUACCAAGGCUUGACAUGAACCGGUAAUACCUGGAAACAGGUGCCCCCCUUGUCGGUACGGAUUWACAGGUGGUGCAUGGUUGUYGUCAYCUCGUGUCGUGAGAUGUUGGGUUAAGUCCCGCAACGAGCGCAACCCUCGUUCUAUGUUGCCAGCGGUUYGGCCGGGGACUCUAUAGGAGACUGCCGGGGUCACACUCGGAGGAGAAGAGUGGGGAGGAGCAGUCUACAAUCAUCUAUGCCCCCUUAUGUCUUGGGCUUCACGCAUGUCUACACAUGGCCGGUACACAAGAGGUUGUCGCAUACUGUGAGGUGGAGACUAAUACCCUACACAAAGACCGGUUUCAGUUUGGAUUGGGGUGUGCAACUCGACCCCAUGAARUCGGAGUCGCUAGUAAUCGCAGAUCAGCACACGCUGCGGUGAAUACGUUCCCGGGCCUUGUACACACCGCCCGUCAAGUCACGAAAGUUGGUAACACCCGAAGCCAGGUGGCGCCUAACCCUUAGUGGAGGCGCAGCCGUCGAAAGGUKGGAACCAGAUGAUUGUGRGKAUAGUCGUAAUCAA
rnacentral:rRNA from 1 species